AGUGCAUAUGAUGAUAAAAUAGACAGGGACAUCAGCACUCUGUAUGAGGAUGAUGAUUUGUCGAUGGGAAUCUCUCUGAUGCACU
rnacentral:snoRNA from 1 species